AACGCGAAGAACCUUACCUAAUUUUGACAUCUAGGGAAUUUGACUGAAAGGUUGAAGUGCCGAAAGGAACCCUAAGACAGGUGCUGCAUGGCUGUCGUCAGCUCGUGUUGUGAAAUGUUGGGUUAAGUCCCGUAACGAGCGCAACCCCUGUUCUAUGUUGCUAACAUUAAGUUGAGGACUCAUAGAAGACUAUCGGUGAUAAACCGGAGGAAGGUGGGGAUGACGUCAAGUCAUCAUGGCUUUUACAAUUAGGGCUACACACGUGCUACAAUGGUUGGUAUAAAAGGAAGCAAAUCCGCAAGGUGGAGCAAAUCCCUAAAACCAAUCUUAGUCCGGAUUGUGGUCUGCAACUCGACCACAUGAAGUCGGAAUCGCUAGUAAUCGCGAAUCAGAAGGUCGCGGUGAAUACGUUCCCGGGCCUUGUA
rnacentral:rRNA from 1 species